rnacentral:tRNA from 1 species
CAUUAAGUGGCUGAAAGCAAGCAAUGAUCUCUUAAAUCAUAAUAUAAUAUAUUAGCAAAUAUUCUUAAUG